GACGAACGCUGGCGGCGUGCUUAACACAUGCAAGUCGAACGGUGAAGCGCCUUCCUCUUUGGUGGGUGUGGAUGAGUGGCGAACGGGUGAGUAACACGUGAGUAACCUGCCCCCUUCUUCUGGAUAACCGCAUGAAAGUGUGGCUAAUACGGGAUAUUCUGGGUCUGUCGCAUGAUGGGUCUGGGAAAGAUAUUGUUUCGGUGGGGGAUGGGCUCGCGGCCUAUCAGCUUGUUGGUGGGGUGAUGGCCUACCAAGGCGGUGACGGGUAGCCGGCCUGAGAGGGUGGACGGUCACACUGGGACUGAGACACGGCCCAGACUCCUACGGGAGGCAGCAGUGGGGAAUAUUGCACAAUGGGCGCAAGCCUGAUGCAGCGACGCCGCGUGAGGGGUGGAGGCCUUCGGGUUGUGAACCUCUUUCGCCAGUGAAGCAGGCCUGCCUCGUUUGUGGGUGGGUUGACGGUAGCUGGAUAAGAAGCGCCGGCUAACUACGUG
rnacentral:rRNA from 1 species